rnacentral:rRNA from 1 species
UACGGAGGGUGCGCGCGUUACCCGGAUUUACUGGGUGUAAAGGGCGUGUAGGCGGUCUCUCAAGUCCGAUGCUAAAGACCGAAGCUCAACUUCGGGGGUGCGUUGGAUACUGUGAGGCUAGACGGUCGGAGAGGGUAGCGGAAUUUCCGGAGUAGCGGUGAAAUGCGCAGAUACCGGAAGGAACGCCAAUAGCGAAAGCAGCUACCUGGACGAUUGGUGACGCUGAGGCGCGAAGGCGUGGGGAGCAAACCGG